rnacentral:piRNA from 1 species
UNCUUUAUACCCUCGGAUGUCUACUCUCUA